UUCACAGAUAGCGCUACCUGCCUCGUAGUGUAGAUUUUCAAUUGCUUUUUAACACUGUAAAUCAAAGUGACAUCGUGUACUGUUGGAUGUUUUCGAUCGAAGAAGGUUCGGAAAUGAUAUUGUCUCAACAAUAAAAGGGAGCUGCCCCCUGUUUGCUUGAGGGGAUGAUGGGUUAUUCAUGGCACUAAGCACAGCCGGUUCACUACCCCCACUACUCUCAUCAGGACAUACAAAGUUUACACCAGAUUGGCACUUUGGCAUCUGGAAGUCAAGGAGGAGGAAAAUUCCUUAUCACAGUAUGGUCAUCUAUGGGGUUAUCGUCAAGGACGGGCCACACCAUUCCCCAGCUUGUGGGGGACAGUUCCAAUCCUGUUCUGUUUUACGAUUGGAAGGAUUACCUUUCUACAUUGUUUCACCCCAUAAAGAAUGUCACCAAAUUUCACCAAUUCCAUGUGUCAGUAGAUCAUAUGGGUGUUGUGGAGUGCAGGGAAUUUAGUGACUCACCAGUAGUCAGAAUCACUUUCAGGAAGGUCUCGAAAAUGACUGUUAAUGUGAGCUGUGACAACCUGCCAAAGGAAAUGUUAGCGAAAGGGCUUGAUCUGGACCGUCAGUGGUACUUAUUUGAACACAUUGGUGAAUUAUGUCGCACAGAUGAAGCCAAAAACUGUAUAUGUCCGAAACCCGCUACUGAUAAGCUACAAAAAACAGACUGUGCCCCCCAAAAAACAGAAGGUGCAUUAAGAUGCACAUCUGAUCUUCUCUGAACAUGCCAAAACAAUUACAUACAUCAUGUAUCAGUGUUUUUUUGCCAAGGUAUUGGGUGAUGUUUUUUCCCACAAACAGUGCAAAAAAUCCUCUAUUCUGAGGAAAGCUAAUACAUGUACAUGUAUACGAGUGCUAAAUCUGUUAGUUGAUACAGGUUUUGAAGUGUUCAAUACAAUAGUUUGUUGUUCUAAUUGCACAAGCUUGUUUUCAAGUUUUUUAAAUCUCAUAUUUACAAAACAAAAAUCAUUUUUUCAAUGUUACUUUGAAAUUGUUUUCACCUUAUGGACACAGACUGCCUUUCCAAAAAACUGGAAAAAACAUCAAUGUGAAUAUUGUAUUUAUUUAUGUUUUACUAUAAAAAUCCUAUAAUUAUGUUUGUUUGCUUCAUUGUUUCCAUAGUAACAAAAACAAACAAUAUGUAUAAAUUAUUGUUUAUUUUGUCUAUUUUAAAAAAUCAGAAAUAAUGAUAAUAAUUAUUAUUACAUUUACUUAAACAUUUAGUAGCCAAGUGUACUUUCAACCAACACUUUUCAAUGCUGUUUUUUCCAUUAUGAUGAGGUUACAUUAUAAUUGAAUUCACAUGUAACUGAAUGAAAAGGAAAAUGGAACACACACAUUAUUGAUUGUUAUAGUUUAACUAGUUGCAAAAACAGUGCAAUUAAUAUUGUGUUUACCUUUAAACAAACACUUGAUUGAUAAUACAAUUCAUGUAUUUAUAAAAGGCGUGAUUGUGCGCUCUGGUGAUUAUUACCAUGUAGAUUGGUUACCAUAGCAACACAAAUACUACAUUUUUAAUGUCCAUAAUGCUGUUGUCAGUUUUUUGCAUUAUAAUUAUGUAUUUGACUUAAGAAAGAUUAUUGUUUUAAUAAAACAGUUUGCUUGUUGUUU